rnacentral:lncRNA from 1 species
GACCAGGAAACCUCUGACGGCAAAAUCCGAGGUUUCUGUGCUUGGCUUGCCUGAGCUCAGUUCGGGCCACGAUGCCUCCUCCUACGCAGCCCACUUUCAUCCUCCGGGACUCGAGGGGGUCUGGGGGGUGAGGUCGGGAGGUGGUGCUCAUUCCCUGAAUCAAGGAGUCGCUGCAGCUCGAGCCGCGUCUGGACCGUUUGGAAGACACCAGCAGGUAACUGGCCUCCCAAAAUGCCCUUGAGAUGUAAAGGCCUUGGGAGGCUUGUUAUGCGUUUGUGGUUUUGUCAAAGCGAUGCCCAUGGCAAUAGGCCUGGGAAAGACGCACCAGCACCACAAAGUUGAGUUGCAAAGAAUAAGAGGGAGCCACACGGCCAGAGACCUAGACGCGGAUUGAACUCACACAAACACACGCGUGAGCGCGCUUCCUUGAGUUUCCAGAGAGAACCCCGAAAGGGCAUUUCUCCAAAGAACUUGCGCCCACUGCUCUUCCAGAGCAGAGGGUUUUAAACGUGGAGCGGAGAAGGGGAAUACAAUCUGUCGAUCCCUACCCUGGCUGCCAGCGUCUGCGUGCGGCUCAUCAGUGCACGCGAUACCCCGCGUGUCUGUGCGCGCAGACGAACAAAGUGUGGUGGUCACGGACCAUUUCUGCCCCCCCCCCCCGAGCGUUUGGAGACCCUAAGCGUCCCCUACCCCCCCCCACCCUCCCCCGCGCGCCCAGCGCCCUCCUGGUGUGACGCCUGGGGCCCAAAUUCGCUAGCUGGGCGAGCUUUCCAUGAAAAGGCCGGACGCUGAGGCUCCCAUUGCGCGGGUCCCCGCGGCUCCCGCCCGAGUAGCGGCGCGCGCCUUCCCCGGAGAGGUCAACCGGGAGCCUUCGGUCGCCGAGAGCAGAACCCCAGGCACGCUCCUGGGGCUGCGGACCGUAGACAAACCCCCGCCGUUCUCAAGCCAGUUCCCGGAGGAAGCUGAGCGAUGAGCCCUGAACCGCCUCCUGGAGGCCGCGGGAAGGAGCUGCCGGCAAACUCCAAGCACCGUCAGCCUG